rnacentral:rRNA from 1 species
CUAAGAAUAUUUCCGGCAAUGGGGGGAACCCUGACGGAGCGACGCCGCGUGGACGAUGAAGGCCGGAAGGUUGUAAAGUCCUUUUAUGGCAGAGGAAUAAGCGGGGGAGUGGAAAGCCCUCGCGGUGACUGUAGGCCAUGAAUAAGCACCGGCUAAUUACGUGCCAGCAGCCGCGGUAACACGUAAGGUGCGAGCGUUGUUCGGAAUCAUUGGGCGUAAAGGGCAUGUAGGCGGUCUGUCAAGCCAGGCGUGAAAGCCAGGGGCUCAACCCCUGAACUGCGCUUGGAACUGGCGGACUGGAGUCGCUGAGGGGGGA